GUAGUCCCAGCUGUAAACGAUGCAAACUCAGUGAUGCAUUGGCUUGUGGCAAUGCAGUGCUGCAAGGAAAGCCGUUAAGUUUGCCGCCUGGGAAGUACGUACGCAAGUAUGAAACUUAAAGGAAUUGGCGGGGGAGCACCACAAGGGGUGAAGCCUGCGGUUCAAUUGGAGUCAACGCCAGAAAUCUUACCCGGAGAGACAGCAGAAUGAAGGUCAAGCUGAAGACUUUACCAGACAAGCUGAGAGGUGGUGCAUGGCCGUCGCCAGCUCGUGCCGUGAGAUGUCCUGUUAAGUCAGGUAACGAGCGAGAUCCCUGCCUCUAGUUGCCACCAUUACUCUCAGGAGUAGUGGGGCGAAUUAGCGGGACCGCCGCAGUUAAUGCGGAGGAAGGAAGGGGCCACGGCAGGUCAGUAUGCCCCGAAACUCUGGGGCCACACGCGGGCUGCAAUGGUAACGACAAUUGGUUUCGAAUCCGAAAGGAUGAGGUAAUCCUCAAACGUUACCACAGUUAUGACUGAGGGCUGCAACUCGCCCUCACGAAUAUGGAAUCCCUAGUAACUGCGUGUCAUUAUCGCGCGGUGAAUACGUCCCUGCUCCUU
rnacentral:rRNA from 1 species